UCAUAAGGUGAAUGCACCAAGUCGCUCUGGAUAAGAGCGUCUGCUAAAUGACAUAAA
rfam:Salmo salar isolate Sally breed double haploid chromosome ssa14, whole genome shotgun sequence.